UACGAAGGGGGGCUAGCGUUGUUCGGAAUUACUGGGCGUAAAGCGCACGUAGGCGGAAUGUUAAGUCAGGGGUGAAAUCCCGGGGCUCAACCCCGGAACUGCCUUUGAUACUGGCAUUCUCGAGUCCGGAAGAGGUGAGUGGAAUUCCGAGUGUGGAGGUGAAAUUCGUAGAUAUUCGGAGGAACACCAGUGGCGAAGGCGGCUCACUGGUCCGGUACUGACGCUGAGGUGCGAAAGCGUGGGGAGCAAACAGG
rnacentral:rRNA from 1 species